UUAUAUAAGUGACCAUGUUGC
rnacentral:siRNA from 1 species